rnacentral:hammerhead_ribozyme from 1 species
AUUCAGCUGACGAGUCCCAAAUAGGACGAAACAUGCGUCCUAGAU